GACGAACGCUGGCGGCGUGCUUAACACAUGCAAGUCGAACGGUGAAAGCGGAGCUUGCUCCGCUGGAUCAGUGGCGAACGGGUGAGUAACACGUGGGCAACCUGCCCCUCACUUCGGGAUAACUCCGGGAAACCGGGGCUAAUACCGGAUAUGACCUCCUUGGGCAUCCUUGGAGGUGGAAAGUUUGUCGGUGAGGGAUGGGCCCGCGGCCUAUCAGCUCGUUGGUGAGGUAGUGGCUCACCAAGGCGACGACGGGUAGCCGGCCUGAGAGGGCGACCGGCCACACUGGGACUGAGACACGGCCCAGACUCCUACGGGAGGCAGCAGUGGGGAAUAUUGCGCAAUGGGCGAAAGCCUGACGCAGCAACGCCGCGUGCGGGAUGACGGCCUUCGGGUUGUAAACCGCUUUCAGCAGGGAAGAAGCCGCAAGGUGACGGUACCUGCAGAAGAAGCACCGGCUAACUACGUGCCAGCAGCCGCAGUAA
rnacentral:rRNA from 1 species